GAUAGCCUUGAUGGAAAAAAAAGGAAUUGUUAAUAAUUGACUCCUUGUGUGAUGAGAUCAGAUAUGAAAGGACAUGCCUGAGGAAUUGGAGAAAGCGUGGAGGACUACUGCAUAUACUGCAACUGUAUCAACUGUGAAAGAGAAAAUGAGGAUUGCACAAUGGUCCAGUGUGAUUCUUGCAAGAGGUGGGCACAUAUACCCUGCAUUACAGAAGGAACCAAUCAAAAAAACCUGACAGAUGAGAAGAAAGAGUACAACUGCAAGAAAUGUGCAUAGUUCACUUCAUUACCCCCCAAAAAAACCCAAUAGAAAAACCCAUAGUUUAA